CCUACGGGAGGCAGCAGUGAGGAAUAUUGGUCCAUGGCCGGGAGGCUGAACCAGCCAAGUCGCGUGAGGGAAGACGGCCCUACGGGUUGUAAACCUCUUUUGUCAGGGAGCAAGGUGCAGGUCGGGACCUGCUGUGAGAGUACCUGAAGAAAAAGCAUCGGCUAACUCCGUGCAAGCCGCCGCGGUAAUACGGGGGAUGCGGGCGUUAUCCGGAUUUAUGGGGUUUAAAGGGUGCGCAGGCGGAGGGACAAGUCAGCGGUAAAAUCGCGGGGCUCAACCCCGCUGCGCAGUUGAAACUGUGUCCGGUGAGUGCGCGAAGGGUAGGCGGAAUGCGUGGUGUAGCGGUGAAAUGCAUAGAUAUCACGCAGAACUCCGAUCGCGAAGGCAGCCUACCGGCGCGCAACUGACGCUCAUGCACGAAAGCGUGGGUAUCGAACAGGAUUAGAUACCCGAGUAGUC
rnacentral:rRNA from 1 species